AGCUACAAAUAAACAUAACACAAAAAUAAUGGCACUAUGUAAAAAUGUCGAUGGUCUACAGCUCGACAAUGAAGAUUUGCAGCCAACUAAAUUGGUUGCCACAUCUAAGCUUAACCCAAACAUGUUCUAAUGAUUACUAUCAAUGCCGCUUAUAAUCUUAAACCAUGACGUACAGAAAAACAAGACAUGCGUCGCAUUAUUAUCUGAUGAUCAUGCAAGUUUCAAUCGACACAAUAACCCCCAGAUGCAUAAAUCGUCAUUCGUUGGCUAUGAACUUGUGCACAAAUCGAUUCGCAUCGUUUCGAUCUUAAGAUAUCCUUUUUAAUCGUCCUCGACUAGAAGACAAAUGCCACAGGGAAAACAGCAGAACUUUAGUUGAGUAAUUUUCUCGAUCAAUUUUUUAAAGCUUCUUUGACGCUCAUGAAACUACUGGUUUUCAUGGACAAAUUAGUCGCAAUUUUCCUAAUUGGCUUCCAUAGCUUUAGGAUAAUUAUGGAAAAUGCUUCUUGGCCGCAGAUCAAAUCAAAUACAUGUCCAUUGAUGCCAGUGAAUAAAAAACGAGAAGAGGUUGGAAAGAGGAACUUACCGCUGUCACGAUCUCCUCUUUCUGCAUGUUCGUUCCGCUCCACACGGUCAGUCCGUUCGGGUCGCUCUCCUCGACCGCGAGCUGCUCCACGACCUCUAACCGACGAUGCAAUUCCACUUCUCUCCACAUGAAAUCUUUCACCAAAGCGACCACUACUAACAGGUGCACCUCUUCCACCUCGACCUCGACCACGCGUUAGACUUCCUCGGUCUCGGUUCCCUCCUCCCUCCGGUUCGGCACUGUAUCCUCUGAAAUACACCAUUGUUGUAAAAUUA